rnacentral:rRNA from 1 species
AUUGAACGCUGGCGGCAGGCCUAACACAUGCAAGUCGAACGAGUGGCGGACGGGUGAGUAAUGUCUGGGAAACUGCCUGAUGGAGGGGGAUAACUACUGGAAACGGUAGCUAAUACCGCAUACCAUCGGAUGUUCCCAGAUGGGAUAAGCUAGUAGGUGGGGUAACGGCUCACCUAGGCGACGAUCCCUAGCUGGUCUGAUAGGAUUACGAGCCACACUGGAACUGGGACACGGUCCAGACACCUACGGGAGGCAGCAGUGGGGAAUAUUGCACAAUGGGCGCAAGCCUGAUGAAGCCAUGCCGCGUGUAUGAAGAAGGCCUUCGGGUUGUAAAGUACUUUCAGCGGGGAGGCGUUACCCGCAGAAGGAGCACCGGCUAACACCAGGCCAGCAGCCGCGGUAAUAC